GACGAACGCCGGCGGCGUGCUUAACACAUGCAAGUCGAACGGAAAGGCCCUGCUUGCAGGGUACUCGAGUGGCGAACGGGUGAGUAACACGUGGGUGAUCUGCCCUGCACUUCGGGAUAAGCCUGGGAAACUGGGUCUAAUACCGGAUAGGAGCCAUUUUUAGUGUGAUGGUUGGAAAGUUUUUUUCGGUGUAGGAUGAGCUCGCGGCCUAUCAGCUUGUUGGUGGGGUAAUGGCCUACCAAGGCGGCGACGGGUAGCCGGCCUGAGAGGGUGGACGGCCACAUUGGGACUGAGAUACGGCCCAGACUCCUACGGGAGGCAGCAGUGGGGAAUAUUGCACAAUGGGCGCAAGCCUGAUGCAGCGACGCCGCGUGGGGGAUGACGGCCUUCGGGUUGUAAACUCCUUUCGCUAGGGACGAAGCUUUUUGUGACGGUACCUAGAUAAGAAGCACCGGCUAACUACGUG
rnacentral:rRNA from 1 species